rnacentral:rRNA from 1 species
UACGUAGGGGGCAAGCGUUGUCCGGAAUCAUUGGGCGUAAAGCGCGUGUAGGCGGUUCGGUAAGUCGGCUGUGAAAGUCCAGGGCUCAACCCUGGGAUGCCGGUCGAUACUGCCGGACUAGAGUUCGGAAGAGGCGAGUGGAAUUCCCGGUGUAGCGGUGAAAUGCGUAGAUAUUGGGAGGAACACCAGUGGCGAAGGCGGCUCACUGGACCGGAACUGACGCUGAGGCGCGAAAGCGUGGGGAGCGAACAGG